UACAGAGGGUGCGAGCGUUAAUCGGAAUUAUUGGGCGUAAAGGGCAUGUAGGUGGUUUUAAAAGUUUGAUGUGAAAGCCCCGGGCUUAACCUGGGAAUGGCGUUGAAUACUAUAAGACUAGAGUCGGACAGAGGGUAGUGGAAUUUCCGGUGUAGCGGUGAAAUGCGUAGAGAUCGGAAAGAACACCAGUGGCGAAGGCGGCUACCUGGGACCAGACUGACACUGAGGUGCGAAAGCGUGGGGAGCAAACAGG
rnacentral:rRNA from 1 species